GUCACUUCCAACCAAAAGGAUGCACGUCUCUGCCUACUGGCUGGAAGACGAACUACAACUACAGCCAAAGAGCGCAAUAUGAAGAGCGCAGUCUUCUAAGAAUGCGUCUGUUUGAAUGCCAUGGACUGCUGCUCAAACAUAGCUUCAUUAACUACUGUCAGUCACUGCACAAGCUUGUUAAGCUGCCCUCAUGUGGCCAAAACAACAAUUAAUGUCGCUUUAAAUAAUGGAUGACGAUUAGAAGACAGAUCC